AACUUAAAGGAAUUGACGGGGGCCCGCACAAGCGGUGGAGCAUGUGGUUUAAUUCGAUGGUACGCGAGGAACCUUACCAGGGCUUGACAUACGCCGGAAGCGCAUCGAAAGGUGCGUGCCGCUUGCGGCCGGCGUACAGGUGCUGCAUGGCUGUCGUCAGCUCGUGCUGUGAAGUGUUGGGUUAAGUCCCGUAACGAGCGCAACCCUUGUCCUUAGUUACCAGCACGUUAUGGUGGGCACUCUAAGGAGACUGCCGGUGACAAACCGGAGGAAGGUGGGGAUGACGUCAAGUCAUCAUGGCCCUUACGGCCUGGGCUACACACGUGCUACAAUGGUCGGUACAAAGGGUUGCCAAGCCGCGAGGUGGAGCUAAUCCCAUAAAACCGAUCGUAGUCCGGAUCGCAGUCUGCAACUCGACUGCGUGAAGUCGGAAUCGCUAGUAAUCGUGAAUCAGAAUGUCACGGUGAAUACGUUCCCGGGCCUU
rnacentral:rRNA from 1 species